AGAGUUUGAUCCUGGCUCAGAUUGAACGCUGGCGGCAUGCCUUACACAUGCAAGUCGAACGGUAACGCGGGGCAACCUGGCGACGAGUGGCGAACGGGUGAGUAAUACAUCGGUAACGUGCCCAGUAGUGGGGGAUAGCCCGGCGAAAGCCGGAUUAAUACCGCAUACGACCUACGGGUGAAAGCGGGGGACCGCAAGGCCUCGCGCUAUUGGAGCGGCCGAUGUCAGAUUAGGUAGUUGGUGGGGUAAAGGCCUACCAAGCCUGCGAUCUGUAGCUGGUCUGAGAGGACGACCAGCCACACUGGGACUGAGACACGGCCCAGACUCCUACGGGAGGCAGCAGUGGGGAAUUUUGGACAAUGGGCGCAAGCCUGAUCCAGCCAUGCCGCGUGCGGGAAGAAGGCCUUCGGGUUGUAAACCGCUUUUGUCAGGGAAGAAAUCCUUUGGGCUAAUACCCUGAAGGGAUGACGGUACCUGAAGAAUAAGCACCGGCUAACUACGUGCCAGCAGCCGCGGUAAUACGUAGGGUGCAAGCGUUAAUCGGAAUUACUGGGCGUAAAGCGUGCGCAGGCGGUUGUGCAAGACAGGUGUGAAAUCCCC
rnacentral:rRNA from 1 species